CAAGGAGGUUAGAGAGAGACUAACCCCCAUCAUCUUGCAGGCAAAGGCACUGAAAAAUGCCUGUGCUGACUAUUAACUAUAUAAUGCCAUGUGGGCAGCUUUAUGAGAUGUAGCUGUGGUUUGGUACAUGUGUGACACCCGCAAAUUCAGUUUGGCUGGGAUAACUCGUGAGUGGGAGAGCCACAAAUCAUAUGAAUGAGUGAUGCUGUCAUUCCAUACAAGAGCCAACAAAAUCUCUCUACUCUGCUCUAUUGUUGAGCGUUAUACAUAGAAGCAGUCUCCAGAGAUUGAUCAUACACAAUCAGUGAUGCAGGACCAAAAGCAAGACAAAUGACUACAAGGACUCCAAAAGUUAG